GUUUCUGUAGUUGAGUUACAACAGUGAUUUUUCGUGUCACAGGUUCAGGUUAGAGUCCUGGGGGAAAUA
rnacentral:tRNA from 1 species